GUUUUUGCAGGGGGGUGGCCGUAUGGCCUGAGAUGAUACCCUUUGAACCUGAUCUGGUUAAUACCAGCGUAGGGAAUUGCAUAGAGCAGUAUA
rnacentral:ncRNA from 2 species